rnacentral:rRNA from 1 species
ACUCAAAUGAAUAGACGGGGACCCGCACAAGCAGUGGAGCGUGUGGUUUAAUUCGAUAAUAAACGAAAAACCUCACCAGGGCUUGACAUGUAGCUGCAAGCGCACGGAAACGUGUGACCUUCGAGGGUGCUACACAGAUGCUGCAUGGCUGUCGUCAGCUCGUGGCGUGAGCUGUACCAUUAAGUUGGGAAACGAGCGCAACCCUCACCGUAUGUUAAAUUAUUCAUGCGGAACAGCCCCGGUUUUUAUCGGGGAGGAAGGCGAGGAUGAUGUCAAGUCAGCACGGUUCUUACGCCCUGGGCUACACACACACUACAAUGGCGAAUAACAACGAGUUGCAAACUGGUAACAGUAAGCUAAUCUCUAAAAUUUCGCCUCAGUUCAGAUUGAGGGCUGCAACCUGCCCUCAUGAAGUCGGAAUUGCUAGUAAUCGCAGAUCAGCGUGCUGCGGUGAAUACGUUCUCGGGUCUUGUACACACCGCCCGU